rnacentral:rRNA from 1 species
GUGGGGAAUCUUGCGCAAUGGGCGAAAGCCUGACGCAGCCAUGCCGCGUGAAUGAUGAAGGUCUUAGGAUUGUAAAAUUCUUUCACCGGGGACGAUAAUGACGGUACCCGGAGAAGAAGCUCCGGCUAACUUCGUGCCAGCAGCCGCGGUAAUACGAAGGGGGCUAGCGUUGCUCGGAAUUACUGGGCGUAAAGGGCGCGUAGGCGGACAGCUUAGUCAGAGGUGAAAGCCCAGGGCUCAACCUUGGAAUUGCCUUUGAUACUGGCUGUCUUGAGUUUGGGAGAGGUGAGUGGAACUCUGAGUGUAGAGGUGAAAUUCGUAGAUAUUCGGAAGAACACCAGUGGCGAAGGCGACUCACUGGCCCAAUACUGACGCUGAGGCGCGAAAGCGUGGGGAGCAAACAGGAUUAGAAACCCUAGUAGUCC